GCCGCAUCCCCGCGGCCCCGGCUCCAAGCCCCAGGGGCGGCCGGGAUCGGGGAGCCGCGGCUGCCGCGCUCCCAGGGGUUAAAAACCUUCGAGCCCCACGCGUGGGAGGGGUCGGGGCAACGCGGGGAGAAAUGCAGAAAAAGUUAAACCAAAUGGCUUUGGUUGUCUCUCAGAGAUGUGAGUGAAUGGAUGUGCCACCCCAAAACUCCCACCUCCCAGAUCAUAUACUACUUAUGUGAAAACAAUGGAAGGGAAUAACAGCAGGACAGAUGAGUCUGCAGCAGCAGCAUCAACCCAAGGGUGAUACUGACCAGAGGUACUGUAAUACUAUGGAGCAAGAUGAGGGUGAGUCAGAAGAAGAUGUUUGUCUUCUAUGCAGAGCCCAAAAUUUGUCUGUCUGUUACAGGAAAUUACACUAAUACUGAAUCACAGUUUGGUACGCAUCAUCAUUAUGUACAGAUUUUUUCCAUGGUGAGGAAGUUGUUGUUAGGUAGGUUUUACAAUUUUAUGCAGUAAUUUUAUUUCAAAAUGUGUCCUAGAGCAUCCAGUUUUCCUUGUGCAUGAAGGUAUCUGCAGCAUUUAUUAUUUGUAUACUCUCCAGUAAAAACUCUGGCCAAGACACUCCAAGGAUAGGUGCAACACCCUUUCAUAUUCUACCUGGAAAAGACAAAUAGUUUGCAACUAUUCUCUAACAAAACAUACAGAAGAGAAAAUGAAAGAACUGAAAAGGAUCUGUGAAAUACUCAUAAAAUGGAGAUAUAUCUCAUGACAGAUGCACUAGGAUUGCCUGGGAUUUUUCUGAGAUAUUCUUAAUUUUUU